rnacentral:rRNA from 1 species
ACACGUAGGGGGCGAGCGUUGUCCGGAAUCACUGGGCGUAAAGGGCGUGUAGGCGGCUGAUUAAGUCAGUUGUAAAAGGCUGCGGCUUAACCGCAGAAGUGCAAUUGAAACUGGUCAGCUUGAGGGCAAGAGAGGAAAGCGGAAUUCCUAGUGUAGCGGUGAAAUGCGUAGAUAUUAGGAGGAACACCAGUGGCGAAGGCGGCUUUCUGGCUUGACCCUGACGCUGAGGCGCGAAAGCGUGGGGAGCAAACAGGAUUAGAUACCCUGGUAGUCCACGCCGUAAACGAUGGGUACUAGGUGUAGGAGGUAUCGACCCCUUCUGUGCCGCAGCAAACGCAUUAAGUACCCCGCCUGGGGAGUACGGCCGCAAGGCUGAA